CAGAUCUAUAUCUGUGAUAGUUACUUUAUAUUCAAUAUUCAUUUUCAUUAUUCAAUAUGUCAACUAGAAGCCAAAACGCAAUGAGUUUCUCAGAGGAAGUACAGUGGCACUCUGUUCAUAAUGUUCAUACAUUAGUUUUUAGAUCACUCAAAAAGGACUCAUGAUAUGUUUUUAUCAUGUCAAAGGAUGCUUCCACCACAAUAGAUGAAGAAGCAUAAAUUGAUUUGUGCACUGUAAUGUAAUGAAACAAUGUUUUUAAUUUUUUUUUAUUGUUUGUGUAUAGGGAGAACUGGGAGAAGAUUAAAAAAAACUCUUUAAAGCUCGAAAUUGUUAUGGUCUGGUUUUUGACAAAGUGGAACAAAAUAAGAUAAACAUAAAGAAAUCUCAACUAGCUGAUAAUCCUGAGAAAUUAAAUAAAAACACAGAGAAAAGUAUGGUUUUAUUGAGUCUAAGUACACAAAACAUAGCUGCUGCUAAUCAACUGAUUAAUCAUAUUAUGCCAAAACCAAAAUGGCAUCCUCCAYGGUCCACAAAAGUUAUACGGAGUAAUUAUACUGGGUUAAKUGUGCUGUGUUACUGWAGUGAAUGGUAAUGAAUGAUUUGCUACUGAUGCUGCUGAUUGAGUUAUUAAAGUAAUACUACAAAAMAAUUUCAUGAUAUAUAAUAUCUAUUUGUAUUUGAUAUAUUUUUUUGGUUU